GCCGGGGUGGCGAAAUGGGAAACGCAGCGCGUUCAGACCGCGUGGCUUCAGCUUGGAGGUUCGACUCCUCUCCCCGGUACCA
rnacentral:tRNA from 1 species